GGAAGGCAGGGAUCCAGAACGAUCUGCAGAGUAGCCCUGGGGAGGAGGACCUGGGGGUGUUGGUGUACCCUGUGCCCUGAGCUGAUCCCACAGGGAUCGUGGGCAGCAGAGGAGGGGGGAUUCUGCCCCUCUGCCCCCUCAGGAGCCAACCGAGUGCUUGGAUACGUUUACAGCGCCCAGGAGAUGCAUCUCUGGUGGAGAGUUUAUUUUUCCAUGUGACAUCACUGCUUUUCAGAUCAACUAAAGCAGAGAGGGAAGAGUGGGGUCCACAGCCCCACUGCCCCUGAUUGCCAGGAAUUCUCACAAAGCAUUUGAAUUGUUCAGGGAAUGUGUGUGGUAACGACACAGGAAUUAUGGAACGUGGAGCAGAACAGGUUAAAUCAGAGCUGUGGAGAUUGCUUGGAUAAUUCCUGCUCUGGUGCCAUGAAUUCUUAUUUUUUGGUCAGCACUUUAUCAACGCACGAAAAAGUCGCUCCAUCUCUGCAGGAGGGGGAGAAGCAACAGGUUGAUAAAACAGCCAAAUGAACCAUAAUUUAGGUUAAAAUGAAAAAUAGGGAUCGGAGAAAAGCAAAC